rnacentral:rRNA from 1 species
UACGUAGGGUGCAAGCGUUGUCCGGAGUUACUGGGCGUAAAGCGCGCGCAGGCGGCGGUGCUGGCCCGGCGUGAAAGCCCCCGGCUCAACCGGGGAGGGUCGUCGGGGACCGCACCGCUUGAGGGCGGUAGGGGCUGGUGGAAUGCCUGGUGUAGUGGUGAAAUGCGUAGAGAUCAGGCGGAACACCCGUGGCGAAGGCGGCUAGCUGGGCCGUCCCUGACGCUGAGGCGCGAAGGCGUGGGGAGCGAACGGG